GACAGAAGUCAUGAUAAUGUGUCAUAAUUUAACCACAGAAGUGAUAGCCUCUCAACAUUGAGGUAUUCUAUUGGCUAUAAGCAAAUUACUCAGAAUGAGGGAAUACAUAGGCCAGGAAUGCCAAGAGAAAGGGAUGGCUGGAUCCAUCUACAGCCACACAGAAGAAAUCUCUCUUCCUUUCUCUCCCUCUCUCUCUUUACCCCCUAGUAGGUGAAAAUACCUUUCAUAAUUUGCAUGUCUUUUUGUCUUGGGCUAUGUGCAAAUGAGUGCCCUCAUUAUCCUUAUCUUUGGUAUAUAUCUCAAAGUGGGAACCUAACAAGUCCAUUCUUCAGGCUAGAACUGACCAGGGCAGAGUGGGGCUUCCUGAGGGCACAAGUAAACAAGAAGCACAAAUCUCCUCCUGAUAACUAGGGCUUAAUUUCAAAAAUAAAAGGUCUAAGGGCCCAAGUCGCUCACUGGGGAAGAGUUUUAGUAUCAUUGUGGGAAUUCUGGUCCAAUUAACGUUUCAGGACAAACAUUCCAGAGAUCCUUGAGCAGUAUACUUUUUGAAUGUGAAAUUCAUAGGUUGGAAAAUGAAGAUUUUUCCCUCCUUUUGCACCCCUUUCUCCAAAAAUUGAGUGGAGUCUAUAAAUCUAUUUAUUUUUCCUCUCUAGAAUAUCAAACAAAUAGAACAAUUUUUCAUGAAAAUAGACUAUGAAGCAGUGGGUAAAAUUCAGUGGAGUACUCGUUGACCCUCAGUACUUCUGUCAACUUGAAGCUGAAUGAAGAGAACGUGCUUGUUUGCAAUUUUCAAAUUUAUGAAUGAUGAGAAUUGAAGUGAAGACCCACACUACAUGGAACAUGGUACACUCUAACAGUCAUUAUCAUCACCGCCAUUGUCAUCAUCAUCAUCAUCAUCAUCAUCAUCAUCAUCAUCAUCAACAACAACAACAACAACACCAUUAAAGAAAAAGGGAAAGCAGAAGAAGUAAGCUGGCAGCUGGGAAACAGACUUCAGGCCCAGCUGAGCAUGCUUACCACAGUUAUUACACGGUGGCUUCUGGACGUAUCUACAGCUAGAGUAUUUGAAGCAGGCCAAGGCUUUGGCCUGACAGAAAGAGGUGUCCUUCCUGCUGCCUGCUGUAGUGCCACAGAGGCUGUCACAUGGGGGUCUUGUGCUGCGCAUUCUCUCUGUGCCUGAUGACACCUUAAUCAUGAUCAGAGAAGAUGGAGCUAUUUAUUUCUGGUCCCUGCAGCUGAAGCUGAAAAGAAAAAAGUGGAUUUUUGUAUGUGAUUUUCAUUUGAUAAGGAUGCUGAGUG
rnacentral:lncRNA from 1 species